UCGCCACUCUACCAGAGCGGUGUACAACCUCACGCGCGUAAGUCCGCGCGCCUGCGCGAUGCGCCACCGCCGUUGCCUAGCAACGAAUAUGCACAACAAAUCACCGUACCAAGCUAACUGAAGCUAGUUGAUGGUCGGAUGCCAAGACGUUGUGUCACAAUUUGACGUUAAAAAACAAAAGAAGGUUGCUUUACAGUCCUAGGUUCUUACAGAUUCUCCUAGCUUAAGGAACAGCCUACAAGGACGAGGUCGAGAAAAUAGUCGACGCAACUUCUGACGUGUCCUUACCGAAUAUAGUGAACAAUGAAGGCUUUUCUUCACUGCAUUUGGCUGCAUUGGCACGUGCGGCAAGCAUCAUUUACAUCUUGUUGCGCAAAGGAGCCAAUCCAUGCUUGCAAUCCAACGACGGCAAUACUCUUUUGCAUUUCAAUGUGUAUAUUAAAAUCAAAUAAUAUUUCAAUUAAUUUUAAAUUUGAUAUAGAAUGUACCUGACAUGUAACUUGGCGUUAGUAAUAAAGUAUUUGUAUUUG